rnacentral:rRNA from 1 species
GCGGCAGGCUUAACACAUGCAAGUCGAGGGGCAGCAUGGGAGUAGCAAUACUUCUGAUGGCGACCGGCGCACGGGUGCGUAACGCGUAUGCAACCUACCUGUAACAGGGGGAUAACACUGAGAAAUCGGUACUAAUACCGCAUAACACUAUGAGAGGCAUCUCUUGUGGUUGAAAGUUUCGGCGGUUACAGAUGGGCAUGCGUUGUAUUAGCUGGUUGGUAAGGUAACGGCUUACCAAGGCGACGAUACAUAGGGGGACUGAGAGGUUAACCCCCCACAUUGGUACUGAGACACGGACCAAACUCCUACGGGAGGCAGCAGUGAGGAAUAUUGGUCAAUGGACGAAAGUCUGAACCAGCCAUGCCGCGUGCAGGAAGACGGCUCUAUGAGUUGUAAACUGCUUUUGUACAAGGGUAAACCUGAAUACGUGUAUUCAGCUGAAAGUACUGUACGAAUAAGGAUCGGCUAACUCCGUGCCAGCAGCCGCGGUAAUACGGAGGAUCCAAGCGUUAUCCGGAUUUAUUGGGUUUAAAGGGUGCGUAGGCGGAUUGAUAAGUUAGAGGUGAAAUGUCCGGGCUCAACUCGGGAACUGCCUCUAAUACUGUUGAUCUAGAGAGUAGAUGCGGUAGGCGGAAUGUAUGGUGUAGCGGUGAAAUGCUUAGAGAUCAUACAGAACACCGAUUGCGAAGGCAGCUUACCAAUCUAUAUCUGACGUUGAGGCACGAAAGCGUGGGGAGCAAACAGGAUUAGAUACCCUGGUAGUCCACGCAGUAAACGAUGAUAGCUCGUUGUCGGCGAUACACAGUCGGUGACUAAGAGAAAUCGAUAAGCUAUCCACCUGGGGAGUACGUUCGCAAGAAUGAAACUCAAAGGAAUUGACGGGGGCCCGCACAAGCGGAGGAACAUGUGGUUUAAUUCGAUGAUACGCGAGGAACCUUACCCGGGCUUGAAAGUUAGUGACUGAUCUGGAAACAGGUCUUCCCUUCGGGGCACGAAACUAGGUGCUGCAUGGUUGUCGUCAGCUCGUGCCGUGAGGUGUCGGGUUAAGUCCCAUAACGAGCGCAACCCCUACUGAUAGUUGCCAUCAGGUCAAGCUGGGCACUCUAUCGGGACUGCCGGUGUAAGCCGGAGGAGGGUGGGGAUGACGUCAAAUCAGCACGGCCCUUACGUCCGGGGCGACACACGUGUUACAAUGGUAGGUACAGAGGGCAGCUACCCAGCGAUGGGGUGCAAAUCUCGAAAGCCUAUCUCAGUUCGGAUUGGAGGCUGAAACUCGCCUCCAUGAAGUUGGAUUCGCUAGUAAUCGCGCAUCAGCCAUGGCGCGGUGAAUACGUUCCCGGGCCUUGUACACACCGCCCGUCAAGCCAUGGGAGUUGGGGGUGCCUGAAGUUCGUGA